GAUCAAAGUGAUGAUCGUGAAAAAGGAUCACGCUUCAAAAAAUGCAAAUUAUUUUGGCCUCACGAUUUGCUUAAGAAUGAGAUAGUCAUUGUUGACAGUCCAGGAAUUGGUGAAUCAAAUGUUUUAGAUGAUGUUGUGAAUGAUUAUCUUCUGACCGCGUUUUGUUUUGUAUAUGUCAUUGACAGCAGUCAUGCAGGGGGAGUUCAAAAUGAUCGGAUACUCAAGCUUUUGGAGAGAGUUAAAGACCAAUCCCUUGAAUGCUUUCUUUGUGAACGUGCUGUGUUCGUCUGCAAUAAAUGGGAC